AAGAACGGGAUGUGGGAACAUGCGCCAUGGCAUGCGCAGUGAAUGUGUUUGUAGUACAGAAAACAACCCUCUGCACUGCCUCGCCGAACUUUCCACCACAACAGGGAAAGCACUGAUGUUUGGAGGUCAUAUGGUACAGGAAGAAAGGCUUUCGAAAUAUGUCCCCAGGAAGCACGAAGAGGCAGAUUGGGCCUUGAAGAAGCGCCUUUGAAGUAUUGCCUCAGGAAACGAAGGGGUGGGUUGGGCCUGGAACAAGAGCCUUCGAAGCCUCAGGAAACCAAGAGCUUAGUCUGAUCUUUCUAAAAAUGCUUCUAUUAAGCUGAAAACAAAUACACAUAUUCAGUAAACGAUGUUCCUUAUAUUGUGGGUGGAUCGGGCCUGG